GAUGAACGCUGGCGGCGUGCCUAAUACAUGCAAGUCGAGCGAAUGGAUUAAGAGCUUGCUCUUAUGAAGUUAGCGGCGGACGGAUGAGUAACACGUGGGCAACCUGCCCAUAAGACUGGGAUAACUCCGGGAAACCGAGGCUAAUACCGGAUAACAUUUUGAACCGCAUGGUUCGAAAUUGAAAGGCGGCUUCGGCUGUCACUUAUGGAUGGACCCGCGUCGCAUUAGCUAGUUGGUGAGGUAACGGCUCACCAAGGCAACGAUGCGUAGCCGACCUGAGAGGGUGAUCGGACACACUGGGACUGAGACACGGCCCAGACUCCUACGGGAGGCAGCAGUAGGGAAUCUUCCGCAAUGGACGAAAGUCUGACGGAGCAACGCCGCGUGAGUGAUGAAGGCUUUCGGGUCGUAAAACUCUGUUGUUAGGGAAGAACAAGUGCUAGUUGAAUAAGCUGGCACCUUGACGGUACCUAACCAGAAAGCCACGGCUAACUACGUGCCAGCCGCCGCAGUAA
rnacentral:rRNA from 1 species